rnacentral:snoRNA from 1 species
UUCAGCAGUGAUGAUAAAUGUUCACAAUCCCAGCUCAUUACGAGACCCGUCACGGGUCAAGGAGUUGAAUUCAUGUUUCCAACAUUUAUCUGAGCUCUUUC